CUUUUGACCUCGGAUCAGGUAGGGAUACCCGCUGAACUUAAGCAUAUCAAUAAGCGGAGGAAAAGAAACCAACAGGGAUUGCCCUAGUAACGGCGAGUGAAGCGGCAACAGCUCAAAUUUGAAAUCUGGCUCUUUUAGAGCCCGAGUUGUAAUUUGCAGAGGGCGCUUUGGCGUUGGCAGCGGUCCAAGUUCUUUGGAACAGGACGUCACAGAGGGUGAGAAUCCCGUACGUGGUCGCUAGCCUUGGCCGUGUAAAGCCCCUUCGACGAGUCGAGUUGUUUGGGAAUGCAGCUCUAAAUGGGAGGUAAAUUUCUUCUAAAGCUAAAUACUGGCCAGAGACCGAUAGCGCACAAGUAGAGUGAUCGAAAGAUGAAAAGCACUUUGGAAAGAGAGUCAAAUAGCACGUGAAAUUGUUGAAAGGGAAGCGCUUGCAGCCAGACUUGCCUGUAGUUGCUUAUCCAGACUUUUGUCUGGUGCACUCUUCUAUAGGCAGGCCAGCAUCAGUUUGGGCGGUUGGAUAAAGGUCUCUGUCACGUACCUCCUUUCGGGGAGGCCUUAUAGGGGAGACGACAUGCAACCAGCCUGGACUGAGGUCCGCGCAUCUGCUAGGAUGCUGGCGUAAUGGCUGUAAGCGGCCCGUCUUGAAACACGGACCAAGGAGUCUAACAUCUAUGCGAGUGUUUGGGUGUCAAGCCCAGACGCGUAAUGAAAGUGAACGGAGGUGGGAACCUU
rnacentral:rRNA from 1 species